rnacentral:misc_RNA from 1 species
GAUGAAGAACGUAGCGAAAUGCGAUAAGUAAUGUGAAUUGCAGAAUUCAGUGAAUCAUCGAAUCUUUGAACGCACCUUGCACCCUUUGGCAUUCCGAAGGGUAUGCUCGUUUGAGUGUCAUUGUACUCUCACACUUCCAAUCUUUGGAUUGGGAGCGGUGGACUUGGGUGUUGCUGCUUACUGUGGCUCACCUCAAAUCGAUUCGUGCACCUCUUGGUUGGACAUAGUACGGCGUGAUAAGUGUCUUCGCCGGCACCUCAGUAGAGGGUGGCUGAUCAGGAGCUCUGUGCUUCAAACCGUCCUCGGACAACAACUGACAACUUGACCUCAAAUCGAGUAGGACUACCCGCUGAACUUAAGCAUAUCAAUAAGCGGAGA